rnacentral:rRNA from 1 species
GACGAACGCUGGCGGCGUGCUUAACACAUGCAAGUCGAACGGAAAGGCCCUGCUUUUGUGGGGUGCUCGAGUGGCGAACGGGUGAGUAACACGUGAGUAACCUGCCCUUGACUUUGGGAUAACUUCAGGAAACUGGGGCUAAUACCGGAUAGGAGCUCCUGCUGCAUGGUGGGGGUUGGAAAGUUUCGGCGGUUGGGGAUGGACUCGCGGCUUAUCAGCUUGUUGGUGGGGUAGUGGCUUACCAAGGCUUUGCCGGGUAGCCUGCCUGGGAGGGUGACCGGCCACACUGGGACGGGGAUACGGCCCAGACUCGAACGGGAGGCAGCAGAGGGGAAUGUUACACAAGAGGCGGAGGGCUGGUGUGGCAACGCCGCGUGCGGGAAGACAGGCUGCGGGUUGUAAACCGAAUUCGCCUGAGACGAAGCGUGAGUGACGGUAAUGGGUGAAGAAGCACCGGCUAACUACGUG